rnacentral:lncRNA from 1 species
UUUCUAACACGAGAAAACUUUGUUUACAUCCAUUACAAAAGUGUUUCCAUCACAAAAGUAUUUGCUUAUAACCAAACAUAAGUUAGUUUUUGCCGUUUAUACAAUAUGUUUCAGGCGCCACAGCUUCUUGUUUAUUUCAAGUGGCCAAUAAUACAAUGCUUCCUAAGUUCAUAUUGUAUAUUUCCACUUCCCCUCACAUAGCAAACGAUCGUCUUCAUUGUGAGGUAGAUCCAAUUGGUGCCAUGCUUCUUAGUGCAUAGACGAGGCGACCUCCAUAUAGACAUGU